rnacentral:antisense_RNA from 1 species
AAACAGGUUUAAGAAUGAAAUAUUGAUUUUUCUGACCCUGAAAAAAAAAAAAAAGAAUCCUAGAGUGACUGAACCAGAGGGCUGGAAAGAACAUUUUCUGGGGUGCAUUUUCCAGAUAGUAAUCACUGUUUUGUUUUAUUUUUGUUUUUCUCUAUCUUUUAGGUCUGUUUUGCCUGAACCCAUCAACAGCUGGGAGAUUAAUCAACCACACUGAAAAUGUGGAGGGCUUUAUGGGGGAGGGAGUUGAAAUGUGGAUGUUUGAAACAAAAGUGUGUAAAUAAAUGAAUUGUUGAUAACUUAGUUAUUGACCUGGAGACUGGUAGCUUAUUAAAGAAACUCCAUGUUACUCAUUCCUGGAGUUGGAGGUUUCUGUAGGCACUUUAUUUCUCCACUUUCAAGAGCUUGGGCUUGGCCCAAAUCUUAGACUGUCCAAUUCUGUCUCUGUUACCAAUUUAAAUCUAUGGCUUGAACCUGUGCACUGAAAAUCAGAUCCUUUAAAAAGAAGGAGGAGAAGAAGAAGCAAAAAAGAAAAAAAAAAAAAAACACUUAUUAGAAGCCCUAGUCAUUUUUUGGCUUUCUGGUUUGUUGCCGUCCAUUGAAGACUUUGAACAUGCCGCCUUAAUAAAUGUAUUAAAAUUGAAAAAAGAAGAUAAA